rnacentral:misc_RNA from 1 species
GAUGAAGAACGCAGCGAAAUGCGAUAAGUAAUGCGAAUUGCAGAUUUCAGUGAGUCAUCGAAUCUUUGAACGCACAUUGCGCCCGCCAGUAUUCUGGCGGGCAUGCCUGUUCGAGCGUCAUUUCAACCAUCAAGCCCCCGGGCUUGCGUUGGGGCCCUGCGGCUGCCCGCAGGCCCUGAAAACCAGUGGCGGGCUCGCUAGUCACACCGAGCGCAGUAAUACAUCUCGCUUUGGGCGUGCGGCGGGUUCUUGCCGUUAAACACCCCCUUUUUACCAAGGUUGACCUCGGAUCAGGUAGGAAUACCCGCUGAACUUAAGCAUAUCAAUAAGCGGACGA